rnacentral:lncRNA from 1 species
UACAGCUCAGAAAGUAUAGGGGGAGAGGAGGGGGAGGAGGGGGAGGCCCCCUCCCCCCUGCACUACAUAACCCCCUCUCUUUGAUCUGGCCUGCACUCGCUCUCCGUCUCUCUGCUGCACUGAGGUAAGGCCUCUACUCUCAAUCUUAUAAUUCACUUCUUUAGUUCUUUUCUGGAUCUAAAGAUAAUUCCCAAUUUUUUUCAGCAAAUGUUAAUUUUAUAAUAAAUGAUAUUUAAAUUAGUAUAUACAGUUUUUUUUUUUUGAGUAUUUAAACAUAAGAACAUGAGUAAUUUUUGUUUCUUAUGUUUUGUAAUUUAAUACCAUUAUUAUUAUUAUAUUUUUAUCAUUAUCAUCUAUCUAUCUAUCUAUCUAUCUAUCUAUCUAUCUAUCUAUCUAUCUAUCUAUCUAGAUAGAUGCUAUUUUAUGAUGUAGUAUGUUUUAAUAGAUGGACACUUCAAAUCAGAAGCAAAUGUUACUUAUUACUUAUCUACUUAAAUAUAAUUUAUAUUUUUUGGGUUAAGGUAAAUUACUAGGUAAAUGUAAAUUAGUACAUUUAAAUGUAAUAAAUAGUAACUACAUAUAUAAAUAAAAUAGGUUACAGUAUCUCUCUCUCUCUCUCUCUCUCUCUCUAUAUAUAUAUAUAUAAAUGUAAUUUAUUUUGUAAUAAUCAUAUAUUUGCUUGUGAAUAAAUGCAAUACUAAUAUUUAUCAGAGCAAUACAAAUAAAUGGAAAAAAAGUAGAAAAAUGUGUUUUUGUGUCCCAAAAGCAGUUUUUCAUUGCUGUUGGUGUUAUUUUUGUUAGCUGACUGAGCCUCAAAGACUGCUGUGGGGAGCAUGUCCACUGACUGUGUGAGGUCACUCUCAGACAAAGCUGAACACACACUCACCAUGCACGAACAUCUCUAUGGGAACACUGAAAUGGACAAUCAGAAGCACAGCUCCAAGGAACAUCAGCAGGACAAAUUGGGACAGAAGAAACCCCGCAGGAAAGACACUCCCGUACUCAACAGCCCUCCACUCAUACCAGGCGUGAGACUGAUAAAGACAGAGGCUCGAAUGAUUCAUCAGGAGGAUGAGGAGAAGGAGAUGAAGAAGUAGAUGUGUUUCAAACAUUUGGUUUUCAGUGUUGUUAGUGCUAAUUUUGAUUGUCGUCUGAGCCUUCAUUAAAUGUAGGUUUUGCAGCUAUUUUUUUGCAUUAUCAUUUCGUCACUUGAGUAUUACAUUGUAUAAACAACUUGGAAUGAAUACAUGGACAGGUGUUUCAGUGUGUGAUUAACCCAUUUAAUCCCACCAUUCACAACAGUGACCGUAAAGAAGGUUUUCAUUUAUAAAGCUCUAAAAAUUUUACUGACUGAUGUUUUAGUGCAUUUUCUAGUGCAUUAGUGUAUUCCUAUGAGUGUUGUAUAAGCGAUUUUAUGCGUAAUAGUACCCUACAAUGAGAUGAAACUGAGUUUAAAAUAGCUGGGCUGAGAUAUAUAAAAUUUUUGAUGACUGCAGUAAAUAUGUGAAUUCAGUUACACAUUGUCCCACCGGUCACAAUUGUGACUGACCAUAAAACAAGAAUUUCACACACUUUCCAAAAAAAAAAAAAAAAAAGAAUUAUUGAUUUCAAAGGGUUGCUAAUGACACUUCAAAAAUUUGGGAUUAAACGGGUUAAGUAUGAACAGCAGAUUACAUUAACUGGGUAAAUCUCAAGAAACCUGUCAAGAACAUGUCCAUGUCAUAUUUCACCCCAAAAUCAAAAGAAAAUGUUAAUUACAGUAAUUGAAAUAAAAUAUUUUUAAAUAUUCAAAUGGUAACAUUGUAGUGCCUUAUGUUUACAUUAUUUUUUCUAUUUUUUCUUUAUUUUUUUUUUUUUUUUUGCAUAGAAUGUGCAUCACAACUGAAAAGAACAAUGACAAAAAAAAGUAAAAUUAUAUUGAUGUGUUUGUGUAUAUAUAAUAAAAAUAUUACAAAUAAAAAAGAAUUUAUAUUUUGCACAAUUAAGCAUAUUUUCCUCCCCAAUUCUUAUUAGGGUUAAAAGAAAGGAAAAAUACAAAACAUUGUUUUUAAAGUACUCAUUCAUCAUGCAAGUUUUAGUGCCUUUAAUUUAUGUUGAUAUAAAUACUAAAUAAAAUGGCAUGGGAAGUAUAGUAUAUUUUUGUAUGGGAAUGCAAUUAAAAACAUAAAAUACUGUAUCAAGGCAAUGGGCGUCACAAUUGAAAAUAAGAAUUCAAAAAAAUUCUAAAUAAUUACAUAUAAUACAUUAAAAAUAUAAAUAAAAAAAUAAUAAAAAAAUAAAUAAAAAUUCAAAUAAAUGUUAUUUUUUAACGGUUUAUUAUUAUUAUAUAUAUUUUUUAAUUUUUCUGUAUACACUACAG